AGGGUAUUGGUUCUUGGUCAGUGCAUAUGUUCAUGAUCUUUUCACUGCAUUGGCCGGAUGUUUUGCCUGUUAGUGAUUUGGGGGUCAGGAAAGGUGUGCAGUUGUUAUACGGAUUAGAGGAAUUACCUAGGCCGUCGCAGAUGGAGCAAUUGUGCGAGAAAUGGAGACCAUAUAGGUCAGCUGGGGCGUGGUAUAUGUGGCGGUUUGUGGAGGGGAAAGGGACUCCAACUACUGCUGCAGCUGCAAUUGAUGCUGGUAAUGUGCAGCCGUUGCAGCAAAUUCAGACAGGACAGGAGACACAGCAACAUCAGUUGCAGCUUCUCGAGCCUAUAAAUGGCAUUGGGAAUCUUGGGUAUUUGACUAUUUUCCGCCUGAAGUAAUAAUAGUCGUUUCUAUAUUAAAUUCUAGAGUGGGCUUGCAUUUGGAGCCAAUGACCAAAAGUGUGCAGAUGUCAGACUAUUUACUUGGGCUGGAAUGUGUGUGCAAAUAAAGAAUUGGUUUCCUAAGAUGCUGUGCACCAAAAUUCUGUCGCAAGUGUCAGUGUUGAGCUAAGUUAGGUGCUGUAAAGGAAUGUGCUAGAUGGCAGAGCUUCAUUUGUUUGAUUGAUGUGAGGGGCUGCACUUUCUUCGUAUAGAGGUAAUACAAUGCUCACUAUUUCUACCCCCUUCCUUCCCCUUUCCUUAAUUCUCUUGUCCCAUUUAAAUGUAAAAUCACGGCUUCAAACUGUGUUGUGAUUUUUAGCAACGAGGUAUAAUAAUAUAAAUAAACUUUACUAUGAUAGAGAUUGAGCACUUGUCUUUGUUUCUGUCCCUUUUGGUCUUGUUUUUGAGGUUGAGAUCCUUCUCGAUUAUUCUCUGUGGGUUUUAAAUGAUGGCGUUGAUCCCAUGGCUUGAGUUCAACCAAAAAUAUUACAUUUUUAAUUCUCGACAGGGAAGCCUCAUAAGAUUCUUCUUUGUUGUGUUGCUGUCGUAAAAUAGCUUUCUUCGUUCCGUUGUCGAUCUUCUAAUAAAUUUUAGAUUUGAUUGUAUUAUAGUGUAUACCCGUUAUGUACACAAUAUUGGCAGUUAUUCUAUUUUCAUCAUAGAAUGAUUAUUCGGUCUUU